CAGUGAACAGAGGCUCAGGGAGGGAAACACCUCAGCUCCUCUGGUGGGCCUUGCAAAAGGUGGGUGACUUCAACCACCAGCACUCCAGGAACUCAGAAAUAUUCUUUUUUUCUGCUUUGCAUCUGUGGUGUGUGAAGGAUUCUCAAGACGAGGGCACACCUGCUUCUACGUGUCUGUUCCCAGAAGAACUCAGGAGCAGCGUCUAUCAGUGUAAGCCUGCCAACCUGAAUGUCCCCACUUUACCUGCACAUCUCAGCUUGACUCUUCCUUUCAGCAACGUUCACUGAUUGCCAAUUACGUGCAAGCCCAGUACUAGGUGAUGGGGGAGGGGAGGGGAGGCGUGGGGAAUUCUUUCCAGCCCUUCAGAGCUCAUUGCUGGUGAUCUGCUUCUCAGUAUUUUGGAUGACCUGUUAAUGUUUUGAAUCAAAGAAGAGCUACAAGGGGUUCCGGUUCAAGAUGGUGACACAGGAGGACCCUGAGCGCACCCACAUCCCGUGGACACCCUGAAUCUACAGCUACACACAGAACAAUUUCCUCUGAAAGAAAUCCAAGAACUAGCAAAGCGACUCUUAGAAUCUGGUGAACAAAACCCACAUCAAAACGGGGCACACGACCUUGGGUUCAGCAGCAAUUUCUGACAAGCCAGCCAGGAGCCUGUGCCCGUGGCAGGUCGACCCUGACUAGAGGCAGCCCCUUCCCUGGGUCCCCAGGAGCUACUGGGGCUCAUUCUGCUCCAGGGAACUCUGAGCCAGGUGCAUUCUGACCUAUACCAUCAGCCUUCUGUUUCAUUUGGGGGUAAGUUGCUCGUGCAGGCUGGGAGUUACCCUCCUUCAUCUAGGCUUAUGCCCUUUUGAGAAAUGAGCCAAUCUGGGCUGUUCUCUUUUGGGAGCGGGGCCAAUCUGGUCUUGAGGUCUGCAUCUGGGAGGGGCGAUGGAAUUGUUUAGGCUACAAUUCCAUAGUCUGAUCUUCUGUCUGUGCGACUGUGUUUGUUGUUUCUAUUUCUGUGUAUCAGUACUUGCAUUUUCAACAAAAUGGGAAAUACUAACUUCACCCCCGUCUGCCUGAGUCCUGGAGGCUGAUCGGGACCCUGGUCACCAAAGACUUCAGUGAAACGAUCUGCGUCCCUCUUCCUGGUUUUGACCCUUGUUAGGGGGUCCUGGUUUUGACAACCCAAAGGGGCCCUGGUUAUGACUUUUGUUAGAGGGUAACUUGAAUUAUUUGUAGAGGGGCGUCAGUUUGGUGUACCUGAACAACCUGAGUGUGCACUUUUAAAUUAUCAUUUGGAAGAACUUACUUACCAACUCUCUAGAGAAGGAAAUUUUCAGUGGGCUGAGAACAGCCGAAUCUGUGUCCCCGCCAGCACUUAUUACAGACCUCUUGGUAGGUGAAGGCAAAUUCUCAACCCAGAUCCAAGGAUGUGGGCAACCAGACAUCAGUCCCCUCGGACAGCCCAUUAGGGUGCAUUCUGAGUCAUCAGAAACUCUAUGGCUCUACUCCAAAUGACAAAGAUAUCCACUUAUUUUCUUUUGUAAUACUGUCUGGCCGCAAUAACAAGUAGGUGACCAGGGAAAAUGGCCAGAGAAUGGCUCAUUAAAUCGUAGCACCAUGCUCCAACUGGACUUACUCUGUGAGAAAAGAGAAAUGAGGUAAGACUCCCUAUGUACAGUGCUUUCUGGCCCUUUACCAGAGCAGAGGCUGCAGAAGAAAUGUAGACUUAAGGCUGCUAAGCAAUUUAACUCGGGGGGGAAGACCUCGCUCCCUGUUUUGAAAGGAUCCCCUGAAGACCCCUUAGAUUUUCCUUUGCCCCUAGUGCUCCAAAUGCUCACUGCAAACUUCAAAAGAUUGCUGUAGGGACCUAUCACCCCCACCUACCAGCUGGUUUUCAAUAAGAUGUGGCAGAAGAAGAAAAAGAAGGUGAAGAAGCAAGGCGCCUUGCUUGCAGUAGCGCUGCAGACCACCCCAGGUACCCGGGAGGAGAGAAUAAGAAGACUCCACAGGUGAGCGCCCCUGCCCCCAACAUGGGACUUGGGACACACAGGCCACCAGCAAAGCUGGGACCUAGUCAGUGCACUUACUGCAAGAAAGUGGAAAGGCCCCGACCAACCACAGAGGGGGAAGGCCUGAGCUAAACCCCCUUCCUUUCAGCUCCUGCUAACUGAAGAAGCAGCCUGGGGGCUCCCCAACUGGCCCCUCAGAACACCACCCCCCAUCUCCCCCAAGGAGCCCCAGUUACCCUAGAAGUCGGGGGAGAGCCAGGUGAGUUUUUGGUAGAUACCAGAGCCACAUUCUCAGUGCGGACAACCUGAAGGGGCUCCCUCUCCAAGACAUCAAAGGGGUGUCAGGAAAGGAAGACAAAAGGAAAUCUUGCCCUGAAAAUUCCCCCAAAGAGCCUCAUUCGACAAGAUAAAACUGGCUUUGCACACAGGCGUGCAAACAACAGGAGCUAGGCCAGGGUUGGACAAGGUUUAUCUCCUACACAUCUGCUCCUUCAGCACUGGGAGAAGCGGCUGUUUUAUCUGAUGCACAGAAACCAGCACAGGGAGUCCAGGAAAAUGAAGCAACAGGAAUACGCUCCAAACAAAAGAACAAGAUAAAACCUCAGCAAAAUACCUUGAUGAAACAGAGUUUUAUUGGAAUACAAUUGACAACAAACAACCCAGUCAAAAAAUGGG